GUCACCAUAGUGUAGUGGUUAGCACACUGGCGAAGCUUUCCACAUCAGCUCCUGUUUUGCAGGAGGCGUGGGUUCGAAUCCCGCUGGUGACA